UACGUAGGGGGCGAGCGUUGUCCGGAAUUACUGGGCGUAAAGCGCACGCAGGCUGAUUGUUAAGUCGGUUGUAAAAGUCAAAGGCUUACCCUUUGAAUGUCGAUCGAUACUGGCAGUCUUGAGUGUGAGAGAGGGAAGUGGAACUCCCGGUGUAGCGGUGAAAUGCGUAGAUAUCGGGAAGAACACCGGUGGCGAAGGCGGCUUCCUGGCUCACAACUGACGCUCAUGUGCGAAAGCUAGGGUAGCGAACGGG
rnacentral:rRNA from 1 species